GUCUGCUCUAGGGAUUUCCAUCUUGUUACCACCACCCACUGGACACCAUUCGCCUAGCUAAACUACACACACACACCAUGUGCUUUGUUCAUUUAUGUGGAACACGCUGUUGUGUUCUGUAAAACUUUGUGAUUCUGCAUAUGACUGCUAGGCGGCAGUAUAAUAGUCUCUGGCCAUGGUCCUUUUCAUCUGCAACACCACACAGACCCAGAGCUUUAGACACUUUGACCAGCUCUUUGUCUGCUUCGGAGGUCAGCAGAAGGGAAAGCUGUCUACAAACAGAGAGGUUGGCCCACUGGUCAAUGGAUGCCUUCACCUUGGCGUACCAGACAAAAGGCGAUCCAUGCCUCCACUCAGAGUGUUGUGUCCUCCUGGACAUUGGAGAUUGUUUCCUUCUGUGUGUUGGGUAUGAAAAGGUCAUUUGCGCGAGGCCUGGCUCAGUGAACCUAGUUCUGGCUUUGGCACUUUAACUUUGACUGAAAGUGAACGUCUUGGUUGUGUUGUGUUAUGUUUUUUUUUUUUUUUAAGUCAACAUUGUAAUAAUGAAAAAUUACAAGUUUUACUCAAUUUAAAUCAUUUAAUAAUUAUUUGUAAAAUGGUAAACUUAGUUUGAUGUGUUGACUAACAUUAAAGCACAUGGAAAGUA